rnacentral:rRNA from 1 species
GAUGAACGCUGGCGGCGUGCCUAAUACAUGCAAGUCGAGCGAAAAGACGAGGCGCUUGCUCCUCUGACGUUAGCGGCGGACGGGUGUGUAACACGUGGAUAACCUACCUAUCAGACUGGGAUAACUUCGGGAAACCGGCGCUUAUCCCGGAUAAUAUAUUGAACCGCAUGGUUGAAUGGUGAAAGACGGUUUUGCUGUCUCUUCUCGCUGGUUCCGCGCCGCAUUGGCUAGUUGGUAAGGUCACGGCUUAUCAAGGCGACGAUGCGUGGCCGACCUGAGUGGCUGGUCGGCCACACGGGAAGUGGGACAGGGUCCAGACGCCUACGGGAGGCAGCAGUAGGGAAUCGUCCGCAAUGGGCGAGAGCCUGACGGAGCGACGCCGCGUGAGUGAUGAAGGUCUUCGGAUCGUAAAGCUCUGUUAUGAGUUAAGAACAAAUGUGGAAGUAACUAUGCACGGCGUGACGGUACCGAGUCAGAAAGCCACGGCUAACUACGUG